UACAGAGGUCUCAAGCGUUGUUCGGAUUUAUUGGGCGUAAAGAGCGCGCAGGCGGUCGUUCAAGUCGCGUGUGAAAGCCCCCGGCUCAACUGGGGAGGGUCACGCGAUACUGAUCGACUCGAAGGCAGGAGAGGGUAGUGGAAUUCCCGGUGUAGUGGUGAAAUGCGUAGAUAUCGGGAGGAACACCAGUGGCGAAGGCGACUACCUGGCCUGUUCUUGACGCUGAGGCGCGAAAGCUAGGGGAGCAAACGGG
rnacentral:rRNA from 1 species